CCAUAUCCAGUGGAGUUGUAGUUUAUUACUAUAACCCUCCCAAGUCAAAAGGACACCAAUUUCAAGCCUUGCAACUUGGUGCAGACAGGGUUUUUCCCUCUCAACCCACUCUGCUGGGCCUCUCUACCUGUCCUCUCCUACUGUCUACAGGUCCCGAACAUUAGAAAAUAGAAAAUGUGAUGAUCUUUGUGUGUCUCUGUAAAAUGUGUGUAUGUGUGCGUGUGUUUGGGUGUAACGGGCCUUCUGUUUGGUCGCGUGGCCUGUCCGUCACGGAGCGGGCCAAUGGCAGGCUGCCUUAUAUAAAAUGAGUGUUUUCAGUCUCUCCGGGUUGCAUGUACUGUAUGUGGAGCAGUGUACAGUGAAGCGGAGGCAGAGCGGCUCCGCGAGCUCCUCUCCACUUUCCCAUAGAGAACCCCUGACUGGCCACUGAGGGCGAGCCACACACACGCCCUCGCGCCCGGCGAGCCCGCGAGGUAAGAGCCCCCCAUCUCCAGCCCUUCUCGGGCGCUCUCCCCGCACUUUCUGUUUUCCUACUCACUUGAGAGCCGCCGGGCUGCAGCCCCAAGGACUCCUCGGCAGGAGCAGCGGCGGCGGCGGCGGCAGCCGGUAGGCUGGACUUGAGGAAGACGGAGGGAACCCCGCGCGUCCGGAGCCGCCGCCAGCCGGCCCGCUCCCUGGGCACUUUCCCCCUCCGCCAAAACUUUGGGUCGGGAGAGGUCGGGGGCGAGGGUCGCGGCGGCCGCGCCGGCGGCGGGUGGGGGGCGCGGAGGCAGUGCCCUGCGGGCGGGAGGCUGGGGGCCGGGCUGGGGAGUAGUAGGCCAGCCGGUGCCAGGCUGCGUUUGCAACCAGCACCUCUCGGCACACAGGCAGCGCCGCCCGAGAGGGGCACGGGAGCCGGGGCGCGGGCAGGAGCAGCCCGAGGAAAACAACAACAGAGCCCUCACGCCGGCGGGCGGCUCGUGGCCGCCCGGGGAGCCCCAAACUUCAUCUCGGCUAAAGUCACUAUCAUAUGA
rnacentral:lncRNA from 1 species